rnacentral:rRNA from 1 species
CCCUUAGAUGUUCUGGGCCGCACGCGCGCUACACUGACGAUGGCAACGAGUUUUUCCUUCGCCGAAAGGUGUGGGUAAUCUUUUGAAACAUCGUCGUGCUGGGGAUAGAUCAUUGCAAUUUUUGAUCUUGAACGAGGAAUUCCUAGUAAGCGCGAGUCAUCAGCUCGCGUUGAUUACGUCCCUGCCCUUUGUACACACCGCCCGUCGCUACUACCGAUUGAAUGGUUUAGUGAGGACUCCUGAUUGGCGUCGCCGCCCCGGCAACGGAGCAGCGGACUGCCGAAAAGUUGUUCAAACCUGAUCAUUUAGAGGAAGUAAAAGUCGUAACA